GGGCCGGGGUGGGAAGGGGCUCGGAGGAGGCGCUGGGAUCGGCCCCCCGUGGGCUCUCCGAUCUCAGGGCCUGGGCUCCGGCCCCCCGGGCGCACGGCUGGGGGGCGCCGAGGCGUGGCCGUUCGCGGCGCGGGGGGUCAGGCCCCAGGCACCUCCCCGCGGGGCCGCGGGCUUUGGCACAGCCUGGCUUCCCCCUGACGCCGCUCCUGGGCAGGCCGGACCCUCGGCCUCCAACCUCCGGAACGCCCGCCACUCGGAGCCGCUUCUCGACUCAGAGGCUGGGCCGGUCGCGAGUCCUCUGACUGAGCCGGGCAGAGCCGCCAGGAAGGGUCAAUUAUUCAUGGGGCGCCUGGGCGUGCUCCCAAGACCUGCUCUGCCCUCAGCUUCUCCGGAGAAGUGGGGAGAAGACAAGGGAAAAGUUCCCAGAGCAAAGUUGGCCACGUUUCUCAUUUUCCCAAGUAAGUAUUGAGCACCUGCUGGAUGCCUGACCCUUGGACUGGGGCUGCUGCCAGCGGCUGGGGAGAAACGUGAGGUCUUCGUGGGCCCCGAGAGUUUCCGCAGGAAACAAUGCCAGAGCAGGCUGCAGCCCAGGACCAGGUCAUCGAGAGGAAGGAAAGCCUGAAUCCUCACCCCUCCCUCUUCUCUUCCUUCCCCUUCUCUUCCUUCCUCCCGGCUGCUUCUCCUUGGCUCCACCCCUUCUCCUCAUCAAUUCCUCCCACACUUCCCUGCUCUCCCUGGCUUUUCACUGGAGGGUCCCUUCUCCUAGCGAGGAGCAGAUGCUGAGCCCCAUUGUCUCUCCCCCAGUGACUGAAGCCUCCCGGGGACAGGACCUGCCACUCUUCACCCCUCCCCCCAGCCCAGAGGCCUGGGCCUUUAGAGACUGGAGCCCCAAGGCCACUGCCCCUCACCCCACCCUAAACCAGCUCCUGGUGUUGUGAGCAGUGACUCCAGUCACUCAGAACAUGGUUUGUUUCUGCCUGGGAGUGGGGAAACAGUAGCCUGAGACUUGCUUUAGCAAGGAGGACACCAUGGUUUUCACAUCUGAGCACUGAGCCCGGGAUGACCCCAGAGCAUUCGCCCACUAUGCCCUCUUAAUAGGAUAGACAGGAAGCCACAUUGCUGUCAUUUUAUAUCCUCCCACUUAGUGCACCUAAGCUGUAUUCUCCAGACAAAGCAGAACACAGCUCUGAUAAUCAAGCAUUCAUUUCACAAAUGCUUACUGAGGACCUACUCUGUACCCCACUGUGCUGGAUGCUGAGGACCUCACCAUCAGCACAUAUGGCCCUCGCGUAGGCUUUGCAGCCCUGCAGGGGAGGGGAAGUGGCGAGAAGACAGGCAACCACAAUGCCAUGUGAUACACGCAAGGAUGAACCAAGGAAGCACCUAAGAGUGUACUUGGACUGGAGUGCUCAGGGAUGGCUUUCUGGAGGAGGUGACAUCUAAAUGAAUAGGCCUGUGUCAGGCAAAUGCAUGGGAAGGUACAGCCUGUCCAAAGGCCCCAGGGCAAGAGAGAAAAUUCUUACAGAUUCUUGGAAUUGCCACAAGUAUUUGCUGCAGCGUGGAGUACAGUGGGGGAGUGGGGAGUGAGGACCGCCAGGCACACAAGUCAGGGAAGGGGCCAGUGGGGAGUGUGUCAGGGCGUAAGUGGGGGUGGGGGCAGUAUCAGGGAGAUACAGCACAGUUUAGCUUCUCCCACUUGCUAGCUUCAUGAACUUGGAUGAUAGCAGCCUUCCGUGAAUAACUUAGACUCAGUUUGCUCACUCCUAAAUUGGGGCUGAAGAAGGCCUGUGGGCUGCAGGGACAGGGUCUCCGUUUAAGGGCCCAGGCUUACUGGCUGCAUAUGCCUGGGCAAGUUGACCUAAGUUUUCUCAUCUGUAAAAUGAGGAUGAAAGCCCCUCACUCACAGAGUUGUUGUGAGCCUCACCCGAGUGCAUGUCCAGCACAGGAUCUGGGACAGAAGGGCCAAUAUAUGGUCACUUUUAUUCAUUAUUAUAAAUCAGGGAGUGACUGACAGGGAGGUGCCCGUACAACCUGCAAGUGACAUUACAUUCUGGGUUGAAACCAAAAUGACUCACUGUGUCUGAAACGUGAUGUGCUUUCUGGGGAAGAAGCAUUCCUUCAAAGAUGACUGGUGUCACGUGUGGGUGACUGGGAUUGGGACAACACCUAUGUCUGAUCGCGAUGUCCAGGGUGUCCUCUCCCGAAUAUGACUGGAAUGUGCAGACUGGAGUUCCAGAGGCCUGGCCUGAUCAGUGGGGGUAUAGCCUGCCUGAAGAACAAAUAGGAAUCAGAAGAGAGGGGGCCUCAUACAAUCCAGGAGGGCGCCUAGGAGCAGACACCUGGCUGUGUUUGCUCAGUGGAGAGAAGUAGACACAGACGUUCACACUAAGGGGGAGAGAGGGAGAAAAAGAGAUUAUUGACUCCUCCAGAGCCCGAAUUAAAUCCCUUUAAACCUCUCAGGCCUUUGCUUGGGUUCCUCAUUCCCCAAGCAACCUGCAGAUGAACUUGGCACCAACAAAAUGCCCCCAGAUGGAGGCAGACCCGGUGUUCCAGUUCCUGCAUUGUAAACAUUUUAUACCUCUAUUAUUUCUUUAUGACACAAGCUCAUUGUGAAAGAAUUUGAAAACCUGCUAAGCCCAACUGAAAAAGAACCCCCUGUAGAGACAUUAUAUUUUGGUGUAGAUCCUUGGACGUUUUAUACCCACAUAUCCGCAUGUAAAUGCACAUCAUGGUGAAACUGUGCAAAGUAAAUCUUGUUAAACAGAUGAAUGAUGAUCCAUGUAAAUAUGUUAUUUUUACAAAAUUAACGAAAAUGACAUAGCGCUAUGCCUACAGAAUUACAACCACUUCUACCCAGUAAUAGGCCACAAAUACCCUUCCCUGUGUAUAAACAUCCACGUCGUCACUCACGAAAGAUAGUAUUCCAUCAUGUGCGUGUAUCUUCAUUUGUUUAAACAAAUUGUUGCACUGCGGGAUGUUUCCAGUUUUCCACAUUCAUGGACAUGCUCUGAUAAGCAUAUUCCUAGAGACACCUGAGUGCCAGGUGAAUGUCGUGUUCUGGUCAUCAUUUUACAUAGGAGGAGACUGAUGAAUGGAAAUGUUAAAACAAACUUCCCAAGGUCACAGCUGUGCUGUGACUGAACCAGACUUUGAAGCCAGAGUUUCCAGUUGGGAGUUUCUUUCCCGCAUAUCUGUUUUCUCCUUUUCUUUAGAGCAGCUCUUCCCUCCACAUACCUCUCCAUUCCCUUUUUUCACAGAUUGCCUCCCCGUGAGGACCUAUUGGGGCAGGUGACCCACUUCCUUCUCUGACACCUUUUUUUUUUUUUCUAAGAUUUUAUUUAUUUAUUCGACAGAGAUAGAGACAGCCAGCGAGAGAGGGAACACAAGCCAGGGGGAGUGGGAGAGGAAGAAGCAGGCUCCUAGCGGAGGAGCCCGAUGUGGGGCUCGAUCCCAUAACGCCGGGAUCACGCCCUGAGCCGAAGGCAGACGCUUAACCUCUGUGCCACCCAGGCGCCCCAUUCUAUGACACCUUUUAAACUUCAGGAGUGUCCACUUCUGGGGGGAGUUGGGAGGAAUAAAACCAGUACUGUAUUUCAUGGCUCACAUGACGCUGCUGUUCAUGAAUUGUAAAGCCUAUGUGAAUGUCAGGAACUCCCGGCAAGGGCCUAGACCCGCAGUCAGACAUCAGCACUGUUGAGCCAAAUCCCCUGACCUGUCCCAACCCAGGAAGGAAGCCUCCAGAUUCACGCCAGAGAGGGAGAGAUCAGCCAUCGUGAUGCAGAAGCAGCAAUUGGGGGCCUGUCCCAGGCAUGCCAUAGUCGCCUGCCGAGAGCCGAAACGGGAAGGAAGUAUCAAAUGUCCCAACUGGACUCCAGCCAGUGGAAGGUGUUGGACCCCAAGGUUGACCUAAAAGGAGCUAUGGAAAGCAGAGAUCCCAGUGUCGCUUACCCUGUGUGGACCCUGUGUUUCCACUGUGCGACCGCGGACACCUAACCCCUCUGGAUCCAGACAACUUGGGUUUAAAUCCCAGCUCUACCUACUACCUACUUGAUUCGAGGAACUUUCAGAGAUUUAUUCAGCAGUGUAAACCCCAACACAAUACACCAA